rnacentral:rRNA from 1 species
GACGAACGCUGGCGGCGUGCCUAAUACAUGCAAGUCGAACGGACGUUCUACCCUUUUUUUUCUCUGAUGUUGGCGGCGGACGGGUGAGUAACACGUGGAUAAUCACCCUCUACGCCUUUGUUAAUUUCGGGAAACCGUAGCUGCUACUGGAUGAUAUUUUGAACCGCAUGCUUCAAUAGUGUUAGACGGUCUUGCUGUCACUUAUAGAUGUUUCCGCGCUGCAUUCGCUAGUUGGUAAGGUAACGGCUUACCAAGGCAACGAUGCAUAGCUGACCUGUGAGAGUGAUCGGCCACACUGGAACUGAGACACGGGCCAGAGUCCUACAGGAGGCAGAAGAAGGGAAACUACCGCAAUAGGCGAAAGAGUGAGGGGGAAACGCCGCGCGAGUGAGAUAGGGCUUCGGGUCGUGAGAACCUGUUAUGAGGGUGGAACAGAUGUGGAAGUAACUGUGCAGGUCGUGACGGUACGGAAUAAGAAAGCCACGGCUAACUACGUG